rnacentral:rRNA from 1 species
UACGUAGGGUGCAAGCGUUGUCCGGAAUUAUUGGGCGUAAAGAGCUCGUAGGUGGUUUGUCGCGUUGUUCGUGAAAACUCACAGCUCAACUGUGGGCGUGCGGGCGAUACGGGCAGACUUGAGUACUGCAGGGGAGACUGGAAUUCCUGGUGUAGCGGUGGAAUGCGCAGAUAUCAGGAGGAACACCGGUGGCGAAGGCGGGUCUCUGGGCCGAUAUUGACGCUGAGGAGCGAAAGCGUGGGGAGCGAACAGG